GAUGAACGCUGGCGGAGUGCCUAACACAUGCAAGUCGAGCGGCAGCGCGAGUAGUUUACUACUUGGCGGCGAGCGGCGGACGGCUGAGUAACGCGUGGGAACAUGCCCCAAAGUGAGGAAUAACUGCCCGAAAGGGUAGCUAAUGCCGCAUACGGUCUUCGGAUUAAAGGAUUUAUCCGCUUUGGGAGUGGCCUGCGUACGAUUAGAUAGUUGGUGAGGUAAUGGCUCACCAAGUCUACGAUCGUUAACUGGUUUGAGAGGAUGAUCAGUCAGACUGGAACUGAGACACGGUCCAGACUCCUACGGAGGCAGCAGUGAGGAAUCUUCCACAAUGGACGAAAGUCUGAUGGAGCAACUCCGCGUGCAGGAUGAAGGCCUUCGGUCGUAAACUGCUUUAUGAGUGAAGAAUAUGACGGUAACUCAUGAAUAAGGGUCGGCUAACUACGUGCCAGCAGCCGCGGUAA
rnacentral:rRNA from 1 species